rnacentral:tRNA from 1 species
GGGGAUUUAGCUCAGUGGUAGAGCGCUUGCCUAGCANNCAAGGCCCUGGGUUCGGUCCCCAGCUCCG